rnacentral:rRNA from 1 species
AAACUUGCCUCACAGCUAGGGACAACAUUUGGAAACGAAUGCUAAUACCUGAUAUUAUGAUUAUAUGGCAUCGUAUAAUUAUGAAAGCUAUAUGCGCUGUGAGAGAGCUUUGCGUCCCAUUAGCUAGUUGGAGAGGUAACGGCUCACCAAGGCGACGAUCGGUAGCCGGACUGAGAGGUUGAACGGCCACAUUGGGACUGAGACACGGCCCAG